GGGAGAUAUGGAAAUUA
rnacentral:rRNA from 1 species